rnacentral:lncRNA from 1 species
UAUAGCUGUCCCAGCUCUGUUCUGGUUUUCAUUUGCAUGGAAUAUUUUUUUCUAUCCCUUCACUUUCAAUCUGUGAGUAUUCUUACAGGUAAAGUGAGUCUCCUGUAUGCAACAUAUUGUUGGGUCUUUAUUUUUUAUCCAUUCAGUCAUUCUGUGUCUUAAUUGGAGAAUUUAAUACAUUUGUAUUCAGUGUGAUUAUUGAUUGGUAAUAACCGACUACUGCCAUUGUGUUAAUUAUUUUACUGUCAUUUUGUAGAUUCUUUAUUACUUUCCUUCUUAGUGUCUUCCCUGAUGGUUGUGAUUUUCUCUAGUAUUCUACUUUGAUUCCUUGCCUUUUAUUUUUACAUUAUCUACUAAACUAAAGGCAGGUUUUGUGCUUCCUGGUUACCAUAAGGAUUACAGACAGUGUCUUGUAGUUAGAAUAGGUUAUUUUGGGCUUCUAUCAACUUAAACUUGAUCUCUUAAAAAAAGUUAUAUUUUAAGUUUACUGUCACCCCAUAUUUAGAACUUUUCAUGUCACAAUUUACAUUUUUAUAUGGCAUAUUCUUUAAAAUAGAAUCAUACUUACUAUUAUUUUUCAGUGUUUUAUCACUUAACCAUUACACUAAGAAUAUUAAGUGAUUUACCUACCAUCAUUACACUUUUAGAGUUUUCUGAAUUUGGCUAUUAGCAUACUUUGACGAGUAAGUAUUAUAUUUUUCAGAUGUUUUUGUAUUACUUAUUAAUGUUGUUUUUUUUUUUUUUCUCCAGCCUGGAGUGUUACCUGUAAGCCAGGUCUGGUAGUGAUGAACUUCCUCAGCUUUUGUUUGUCUGGAAAAGUCUUUAUCUCUCUUUUAAUUUGAAGUAUAGUUUUUGUGGGUAAAGUAUCAUUGGUUGGAAGGUUUUUUUUUUUUCUUCAGUGCUUUGAAUGUAUCAUCCCACUCUCUCUUAGUUUGUAGGAUUUCUGCCAGGAAAUCCACUGAAAGUUGUACUGGUACUCCAUUGAAUGUGACAUGUUUUUUCCUCUUGCUACAUUCAGUAUUCUUUCUUUGUCUCUGAUUUUUAAGGAUUUGUUGGGGAAUUAUUCUUUGUCUUACAUUUGAUUGGUGAUCUCUGAGCUUCCUGUACCUGUAUGUUGUUAUUUUUCCCCAGAUACAGAAAAGUUUUAGUCAUUAUUUUUAAAAAUAUUAUUUCUAGGCUUUUUUCUCUCUUACCUCUUUCAAGAACUUUACAUUAUGUGAAGUUUAGAUCACUUGAUGGUGUCCCAUGAUUCCCGUGGUGUUUAUUUUUAUUUAUUAUUUUUACUUCCCUACUUGAACAAUUUUAUACGUCCUUUGAGCUUACUGAUGCUUUCCUAUGUUUAAGUCUGCUUUCAAGGCUUUCUAUUGAGUUUUUCAAUUCAGCUAUUAUAUUUUUUAGUUUUAGGGUUUUAAUUUGUUUCUUUAUUUCUAUUCCUCUGUCAAAUGUUUUUGUGAACACCAUAAAUUGUUUUCUAAAAUUUAUUUAAUUUUCUAAACAUAUUUUCUUGUGAUGCCCUGAAUUGUUUUAAGAGGAUCUUUUGGAAUUCUUUGUCAGUCAGUUCAUAGAUCUUCAAUUCUUCUGAAUCCAUUAUGGGAGCUUUAUUUGUUUACCUUGGUGGUGAAAGGAGGGGCCAGCUGGGCUUCCUGGGUCAAGUAGGGGCUCAGAAAGCUGUGAAACUCACUCAUUUCCUGCGUCAGGACUUACUUCGGUCCUGGAUAAUAUUGAAGAUAUAUGCUUAAAAUAUUCCUAACAUGAGGAUUUGUGCAUGUGUUUUCUUCCCCAAAAAAGCUAUAAACAGAGAAAAUUUUGCUGUAAGCUUCCCUGUGCCCUCUCUCCCUUUCUCCCUUCCUCCUCCCCUAAAACUAAAAGGAAUGUUAAAUGCCCAUUUUUCUAAUGGGUAGAUAAGGACCAGUGGACCUUACCUAUGCUCCUAAUUCCAAUUCCUUGUAAACACACUUUGUAAAGUCAUGUGAGAUCCUGUCUCCUUUGCCAUGUCACUGCAAGGUCAUAAAGUAGAUAAAACCUAAGUUGCAAUUCCAGUUUUCCUCAAAAUCUAAGACAUGUCACAAAAUAAUUUACUGCCUUUGUUUCUCGCUCUGGUAACGUCUUCUCUCUGCACAUAUUUCCCACCUCAAAGAGUUUAAAAGGCAACUGCAUAAUCUAACUCUGUCUACCCGUUCGAGACCCCUUCCACGCUGUGGAAGCUUUAUGCUUUCACUCUGCCGAAUAAAGCCUACAGCUUUCUCUAUCAGUCUGUGUCUCUGUCACUUCUCACGGGCAGCUGCCACACCAAUUCUUUGGUGUGGCUAAGGCAAGGACCUUUGGCAUUACAGUGGUAUCAUAUUUUCCUGAUUUUUCACAAUCAUUGUGUGUUUAUGUUAAUGCUUGUGGAUUUAAGGAGACAGUCACCACUUUUAUCUUGUGAAGAUAUUAUUUUGUGGCAUUAAACUUUUACUAUUUAAUGUCAGAAUUUAACUGCUGGCCUGCAGUUAAGUUCUGUUCUGGGGAACACUUAUAGUGAGCACCAGACCUCAAAUGCUGCACCAGAGCUAAACCAAUGACUUGAAGUUCUUUUCAACUCUGGAGAAGACUUAAUCUGAACAUUGAAAAAUAAUUACUGAAGUUUUAGUUGCUUCCUAGUCAGGGUAAGACUCAAGAAGAGCACCUGAACCAUGUGUGAAAGCCAGCCAGAAACUUUGGCCUAGGAGACACAUGAACCAUGCCCCCUGCACUGUAAUUGUGCUGGUUAGUCUCCUCAGCAUGAUGACCCCCCGAUCAGUGGUAGAGUAGCCACUAAGAUCUGCACACCAGUCACUGCAAUCAGUGCUCCUGAUCUUUGUCUCCAAUUUACCCCAGGUGGUUUGGCCCUAUGGGCACUCCCAGUGCUUCCAUGAGAUGGGACUGGAGCCCUACUGGCACUUCCAGUGCUUCCAGCAGAUGAGACUAAAGCAUUUCCCAUCUUCCUGGGAAGAUUGCUGGACCAGUGAGGAGAUCAAAUAUCCACCUUCAAUUCCCUCCUCCCACCUGAGAAACUAUGGGUUGAUAGGAAUUCUCUCAUCUUGAUCUAUUUGAUGGCAGUAGUGGCCCAUCUGGAGUGGCAGCUGCAAGGACAUCAGCUGCAGCAGGGGAGGCACAGCCAGGGCUGCGCGAUCUGCAAAGAUGACAGGCGCUGGGAACAGGUGAUCCCAGUGGGAGCCCCACACCCUAUUUAGUUGGCAGAGACUGUGCUCCUGGGUGCAGCUGCAGCCACCCAGUCACAGCUCUGGAUCCAGUCAUCCCUGUACUCUCGGGGGCCUAGGAAGACCCCUGCACCCACAGGCUUGGAAGUGCCUGCUCCCACUCCCUGGCCUCUCCCUGCUCCCAGUGCUACUCUGCAGCAGAACAAAGUUGUGGACAUGUCCCGAUAGCUGAGCCCAGGCACUCUUGCUACCCAGCUGGGCAUGUGUGCACUUAGGGUGGUGCUGACAUACCAGUCUCCUGCUGGCUUGGCCUCCUCUGGAAACUGCUUCUGAGGCUAAAACAUUGGGUGCUGACGGUCAUGGGAGGGAGCCCAGGGGGCUGAGGGUGGCUUAGUAUGGGUUUGUGGGUGCCCCUCGGUGCAGACAUCCUGGACUCUGUGGAUGGCAUGUUGAUGGCAGUGGGAGGCAGACAGGUUCCUAGGCGGGAGGGGGCUGUUCCCCUGUGAAAUCCCACCUUCAAGCCAGGGACAGCCUGAAGCCUGGGCACUGGGCUUCCAGUUCCCAGUGGAGUCCACAACCUGGAGUGAGAACUUCCUUGAUGCCUUCUGUGACGAGAUGGUGCUUUUUCCAGGCCUGCCCAUGGCUGCCCAUGGACCAAUCAGCACAUACUUCCUCCCAUCCAUGGAUCAAUAAGCAUGACCUUCCUCUCUUUUGAGCCCAUAAAAACCCCUGGACUUAGUCAGACUCAGAUAUUCAUCAGCAAGACCUGCUUGCAGAUAGGAGCCACCCACUUCAGGUCUCCUCUCUGCUGAGAGGUGUUCUAUCAAUAAAGCUUUCUCCCUUGCUCACCUUCCAUUUGUCCACACAACCUCAUUCUUCCUGGACAUAGGACAAGAACUUGGGACCUGCUAAACACCAGGAAUGAAAGGAACUGUAACACAUUCCUGGCUGGCUCGCAGAGGUGCCAGUGGCAGCUAAAGGGGCUGUAAUAGGUUCCUGGAUGGCUUAUUGAGCUGCAGGCAGUGACACACUCCCAGACUGUGGGAGUGAAGGGUGGUGACUCUGCUGGGGGCCCAUACCUCAGGAUUCCCCCAAGCCAGAGCUGCUGUAACACUAUAGCUCUCUGGCCCUUUGCCAGCACUGGGCAGGCACCUCUUGCAACAAGAAGCAGUGGCAGGGCUUGGCCAGCCCAGGAGCUGCAGGCCUGGCUGAGGGCAGAAGGACUGAAAGAACUGUUACACAAACGGACUUAAAUACUCCUCCUGAAACAUGCCCUCCACCCUGCCUGCCACCCAGCUCGCUGCGCUGCAGGUGACAAGAAGGAAAGAAGAGCUGUAGCCCUUCUGAAACCCCAGACCUCAGGGCUCCCCAGGUCAGGGCUGUGACAUGUUGUAACAUCCUCUCUGGGGCUCUGUGGUUUGUGGCGUCUCCGAGCUUUCAAGUGCCAUUGCAUUCCUCUUGUCCAGAUGCUGGUGCCCACAGCAGAGGGUGCUUGCUCUAUGUCUGUUCCAGCUUCAGUCUUGCAUGUAGCUGGCACAUGUGCCAGUGCCUGGAGCUUCCCACCCCACCACAGCAGCCAGAAUGCCUGGCUGUGCACAGUGGCCGGCUUCCGCACCCACUCGCUUACACACUUCUUGCC